rnacentral:rRNA from 1 species
AGCGAACGCUGGCGGCAGGCCUAAUACAUGCAAGUCGAACGGCUCUUCGGAGCAGUGGCGGACGGGUGAGUAACGCGUGGGAACGUGCCCUUUGGUUCGGAACAACACAGGGAAACUUGUGCUAAUACCGAAUGUGCCCUUCGGGGGAAAGAUUAUCGCCAUUGGAGCGGCCCGCGUUGGAUUAGCUAGUUGGUGGGGUAAAGGCCCACCAAGGCGACGAUCCAUAGCUGGUCUGAGAGGAUGAUCAGCCACACUGGGACUGAGACACGGCCCAGACUCCUACGGGAGGCAGCAGUAGGGAAUCUUGCGCAAUGGGCGAAAGCCUGACGCAGCCAUGCCGCGUGAAUGAUGAAGGUCUUAGGAUUGUAAAAUUCUUUCACCGGGGAAGAUAAUGACGGUACCCGGAGAAGAAGCCCCGGCUAACUUCGUGCCAGCAGCCGCGGUAAUACGAAGGGGGCUAGCGUUGCUCGGAAUUACUGGGCGUAAAGGGCGCGUANGCGGACAGUUUAGUCAGAGGUGAAAGCCCAGGGCUCAACCUUGGAAUUGCCUUUGAUACUGGCUGUCUUGAGUUCGGGAGAGGUGAGUGGAAUGCCGAGUGUAGAGGUGAAAUUCGUAGAUAUUCGGCGGAACACCAGUGGCGAAGGCGACUCACUGG